rnacentral:rRNA from 1 species
GGGUGCUUCCGAAGCGGGUUCGUUCAUCCCCCCCGCUCUAUAAAUUGUCUGUGAGGCCGCUUCGUGCGGCCUCUUUACCCCGAGAAAGAAUUCGUUAUGCGAAGUUGGGCGAGGGGGGCCUCGCCGAGAGCCUGUGAAAAGGCCCUCGAAUCAAAGCGCACCCCACAUUUCAACCCAUUAAACUCUGAAUCUGAACUCAAAGGGGCGCUGCGCUAGCCGCGGCUCCCCCAACCUUUAACGUUGUAAAACUUUCAUCGACGGAUGUCUUGGCUCCCACAACGAUGAAAAACGCAGCGAAAUGCGAUACGUCUUGCGACUUGCAGAAUCCAGUGAAUCAUCAAAACUUUGAACGCAUCUUGCGCUUCCGGGAUACUCCUGGGAGCAUGCUUGUCGGAGUGUCUGUUGACACCACUCGCCCCUCUUCUCUCCUGUCUCACGACGGGGGAGUCGCGGCGGCGGACUUUGAGUGUUCCGGAGUUCCCAUGCUCCGAGUGCACCUAAUCUCGUGAACGAAGCCUCUCGCGCCCUGCCGCACAGAGUUGUUGACGGCGCUCGCUUCGGCGGCGACUCUCGACUCACCAAACGUGCGCAGGAUGCCUGCCUCAUUCCGGCGCUCCGACGCCGACCCUUCUGGGUCAGCGUCGGAAACCGUACCACUUUCGUUCGGACCUCCGAUCAAGCAAGAGGACCCGCUGAACUUAAGCAUAUGGAUCCCACCCAAA